rnacentral:lncRNA from 1 species
UGGAGAUUUCAUUUAAAUCAACAUUGCCACCAUGACCACCACUUUCAACAACAUUAGUAACAACAUCAGCUCCAACAACAUUGUUAACAUUAACAUCAGCUUGCUCAACAUGUCGUGAUUUUGCAUUUGCACAACAUUCUCUUCAUUAGCAUCUUCAGUUAUCCACUCAUUCAUAAGAAUUAAUAUAUCUUCAAAUGAAGUAACUUUUCGUUUCCAG